CACAAAGAUGACGACCGGCGCACGGGUGCGCACCGCGUAUGGAACCUACCUUCUACAGGGGAAUAGCCCAGGGAAACUUGGAUUAAUGCCCCGUGGUACCGGCUAACAGCAUUGUUUACCGGUUAAAGCCUUCGGGCGGUAGAAGAUGGCCAUGCGUCCCAUUAGCUCGAUGGUAGGGUAACGGCCUACCAUGGCCACGAUGGGUAGGGGCCCUGAGAGGGGGAUCCCCCACACUGGUACUGAGACACGGACCAG
rnacentral:rRNA from 1 species